UACGUAGGGUGCAAGCGUUGUCCGGAAUUAUUGGGCGUAAAGAGCUCGUAGGCGGUUUGUUGCGUCGGCUGUGAAAUCCCGAGGCUCAACCUCGGGUCUGCAGUCGAUACGAGCAAACUAGAGUGUUGCAGGGGAGACUGGAAUUCCUGGUGUAGCGGUGAAAUGCGCAGAUAUCAGGAGGAACGCCGGUGGCGAAGGCGGGUGUCUGGGCAACAACUGACGCUGAGGAGCGAAAGCGUGGGAGCGAACAGG
rnacentral:rRNA from 1 species